GGAGUUUGGGCCGUGUCUCAGUCCCAAUGUGGCCGGUCACCCUCUCAGGUCGGCUAUGGAUCGUCGGCUUGGUGGGCCGUUACCUCACCAACUACCUAAUCCAACGCGGGCUCAUCCCAUACCACCGGAGUUUUUCACACACGACCAUGCGGUCCCGUGCGCUUAUGCGGUAUUAGCAGUCGUUUCCAACUGUUGUCCCCCGGUAUGGGGCAGAUUGCCCACGCGUUACUCACCCGUCCGCCACUAAGUCAUAAGGUCUUCAAUCCGAAGAAAUCAAACCAGAUGCUUCGUUCGACUUGCAUGUGUUAAGCACGCCGCCAGCGUUCAUC
rnacentral:rRNA from 1 species